AGAACUCCUCUCUGUCUGUCUGUCUUUGUCUGACUGACUGACUGAUGGUCUGUCUGUCGGACUGACUGAUGGUCUGUCUGUCUGUCUGUCUGUCUGUCUGUCUGACUGACUGACUGUCUGUCUGUCCGACGGACCGUCUGUGUCCUUAUUUUUUCUUGUCAGAGUAUGUCUGAGAGAAAUAAAGAAGGUGUACCACUGCUGAAAUUGACGGACCUGGAAACCGGGAACAGGGUUGCUUGCUAUGGGCCAGAAAAAUACCUUGAUACUUGCCUUUGUCAAACAUUUAUGGAAGCUUCUUUUUUUUUCUUCUUUACAGAUCAAUUUUUUUUGCCUGGGG
ensembl:lncRNA